UAGGGAAUCUUCCGCAAUGGACGCAAGUCUGACGGAGCAACGCCGCGUGAGUGAAGAAGGAUUUCGGUUCGUAAAACUCUGUUGUUAGAGAAGAACAGCGCAUAGAGUAACUGUUAUGCGUGUGACGGUAUCUAACCAGAAAGCCACGGCUAACUACGUGCCCGCAGCCGCGGUAAUACGUAGGUGGCAAGCGUUGUCCGGAUUUAUUGGGCGUAAAGCGAGCGCAGGCGGUCAAUUAAGUCUGAUGUGAAAGCCCCCGGCUCAACCGGGGAGGGUCAUUGGAAACUGGUUGACUUGAGUGCAGAAGAGGAGAGUGGAAUUCCAUGUGUAGCGAGGAAAUGCGUAGAUAUAUGGAGGAAAACCAGUGGCGAAGGAGACUCUCUGGUCUGAAACUGACGCUGAGGCUCGAAAGCGUGGGUAGCAAACAGG
rnacentral:rRNA from 1 species